UAAAUAUUUUUAUUUUUAUUUUCCCCUCACAAAGUUGUCAAAUUACAAAUGUCACCUGUCAAAGCGAAGGACACUUACUAAAAAUAUGCUUUUUUUUCAUCACUAGAAAUGUAAAAACCAGUAAAUAACUGCACAAAGCAAUGGUAUGAAGAACAGUGGUGCAAUAGAGGUCACAUAUUACCACAUCAAUCAGUUUGGUCUUUAUAAGGUGAUUGGGAGAGAGAAAUAGGAGAGAGGCUGUUAGAAGCUAUAGCCAACCCACCAAGUCCAUUGGAUGUUCACUACCAAGUCCAUUGGAUGUUCACCACGCCAUAGCCGGAUCAAAAGGCAGCAGAUGUGGUGCUGCAUUGGUAAUCUGAUUGUUGAGGCAUGGAUUCUCUAGCAUGGUCCCCGAUCUGUUUGUGCUUUUUUGUUAACGCCUAUGGUGAGUCGGGACCAUAGCGGUUGACAAGACAGCACAAACAUGAUCUGGGACCAGGCUAUGGAUUUUCUCCAAGGCCUCCAUGGGUAAUUCUUAUUCCAAGACAGAUACAAAGCAUUAGGUUUAACUUGAUUUUCUAAGUGUUCAAUUUCAAAAGUAAUGUGUGGCUUGCAUACCUGAUGUGUUUAUGAUUUAUAAUAAUGGACUAUCGUGGCAUUAAAGUAAUGGGAAGAUGCAUUUUUCUUGAUUUCAUCUUCUCAGUCAUUCUGAAAUGCCAUUUAGUAUUUCAGCAGAUACAUAUUUGUUAUACGAUAGUGUAACAUUCAUCCAAAUGAAAGAUUUAGUUUGUAACCAUGAUUUUGUUUCAUGGUUGGCAAAUAACCAGCUAAUCACUUCUGUCGGCCCUAUUCUGGCCUACGAAGUGGUAUGUAUCUUUAUAUAAAAUGUGGGAGAGGUCCAUUUUCGAUUUCAAGCUAACACAUCUAUAGGCACCUUUCAUUUUAAUUGCUACAGUCAAUUUGAUGAUAAGAGGGACAGGACAAUGGGAUUUACCUGGAUUCAAAAGUAUUCUUAAUGCCCUUUUUAAGUAUGCAUCAACACUCUUAUGACACUAAAUCACAAUGUUUAAUGUGUACUACUAACUAUACAUCUUAAGUCGUACAGUAGCCAGUGUGCAGAACUGAAAAAGUCUGCCUUGGAACCAACAUUGUUGUGGGGUCAUAGGGAACAAGAGGCUAAACUGUCCUGGAUAAGCCUGUGGGUGUGGAGGCUUUCGCCCCCUAGUGUUGGGGAGGGAGAACUGGGUCCAUACUCCCAGCAAUAGGUCCUCCUCACCUCUCCACCAUGAGAGCUGUUGUGUGGUGAGAUUUAUUUUUCAAAAUGGCUGCCAUGGCUUCACCCAAGUAGGUGCUGCACAUUGGUGGUGGAUGAGGUUAGGUGAGUUUCGCCCCUUACUAUGUAAAGCGCUUUGAAAAGUGCUCUAUAAAUCCAAUUAAAUUAUUAUUAUUUUAUUAUAGGGGUCAUGAUGAUGUUGAGUGACUAAAGUGCAAAUUCCCUGCUUUAUUCUGGGGUCUAUAGACUCACUAAAGGACACUACACAUGAGAAAAGCAAAAUAUUUUUUCCAAAGAUUUUAUUUAUUUAUUAAGAAAUAAAAAGGUUUAACGUUUUUCUCAGUAAAACCCUGUUUUAAAUACACAUUUUUGCUUUACAGGUAAUUUAGCGCCAUAGAAAUAAAAAAUAAAAUCUUUCAAAUUGUAUUUGAAAAAUGUUUCUUCUUCAUGGAUUAAAAACAUUUCCCCUUGUACAUUCUUAAAAAGGAAGGGCUGGUAUGUAAUGACAUGUAAUGUAUGAGGCAGGAGAGUUAAAUAAGUUUAACAUUAUGUUUUCUAUCUGUAGGGAUCUGAUUAUAGACAGCUAAUUUCAAUGGAAAUGGAAGAUGUAAUCCAAAUGGCACCCUAUUCCCUAUUUAGUGCACUACUUUUGACCAGAGACCUAUGCCAUUUAGGACAAAUCCGGAGACUUCUCCAAUCUCCAGCGAUGGACUGGGUGGCAAUAUCUUCACUGUAAUAAUGUCUUCUCAUUUGGUUUUUCAGUAAGCUUCUUUGAUACAACACCUGUAAGGUACCUAGCUAGCUAACUACUAGCGGUUUGUUACAGGUACCUAGCUAGAUAACUACUAGCGGUUCGUUACAGGUACCUAGCUAGAUAACUACUAGCGGUUCGUUACAGGUACACUACACAUGAGAAACUACUAGUGGUUUGUUACAGGUACCUAGCUAGCUAACUACUAGCGGUUCGUUUCUGCGCGACAUAAUACAUCUUCUGUACAAACAAACAGCACUAUGGUAGAUAGAAAGGCCUAUGUUUGGUGGCAGCAUCAUUUCAGAAUGUCACCUAUACCUCACAGGCCAAUUCAGACUACCAAAUAAGCAUUGAGUCAGUAAUUAUAAAAUGGCAGGAUUACUUUUCAUUUCAACUUCAGAUAUUCUUUCAUUUUAAUAUUUUUUGAUAAAGAUUAAUCAAAUUCUGUGUGUGUUAUAACAGAAAGCGAUACUACUGCAUUGAACGUUGUUUGUUUGUUGAUAUUAUGGCAUAAGAGUUUGUGGUUUUCAUUGAAAUUGUAGUAAUUUUGCCUCUCGCAUUGUUUUAGCAAGUGUUUUUGUGUUUUCUCACUACAGAGUUAAAAGUACCACCUAUUUGAAAAACAGAGUGAAAAAAUAUCUUUCUACGAAGUAUUGCACAUUACAAAUUGAAGUUUUUGUUGAUUAACAGUAAGUUGUUAAAUGACUAUUCAUCCUCAGGAAGUAUUAGUAACUGGAGACGGGGUGGUCAUUUUACAUUUUGAAUACAAAAAGGGAAAAACGUGAUUGAAAAACAAUCAAAGUAAAAUAAACCAAAAGUUUUAAUUUUAUACAACAAAAUAAAAAAAGAGAACAAUUUUUUCUACGUAAUAGAAUUAACCGAAGCAUCAGUUCACUACAUGGGGUUUCACAUUUCAACAUUCCAUUCAAAGAAGAAUAUCUUUGCAUUGUGAAUCAUAAUGCUUCAAAUCCCAACAGGCUUUGUUUGAAUUGUUUCUGCCUCUUUGAAAAGCUGUAAUAAUAUAAUAUUUAAAACUAAGCUUAGAUAUGACGACCGAUAUAUAGGGAGUGUGAAAAGGCUGGAUGAAGUGGAUAG